rnacentral:rRNA from 1 species
CAGUAGCCGCGGUAAUACGAAGGGUGCAAGCGUUAAUCGGAAUUACUGGGCGUAAAGCGUGCGUAGGCGGUUUGUUAAGUCUGUUCUGAAAUCCCCGGGCUCAACCUGGGAAUGGCAAUGGAUACUGGCAGGCUAGAGUGUGAUAGAGGAUGGUGGAAUUCCCGGUGUAGCGGUGAAAUGCGUAGAGAUCGGGAGGAACAUCAGUGGCGAAGGCGGCCAUCUGGAUCAACACUGACGCUGAGGCACGAAAGCGUGGGGAGCAAACAGGAUUAGAUACCCCGGUAGUCCCUGUCUCUUAUAC